AAACAGUAGAGCUCCAGUAAGCACAUGUACGUCAACAAAGUGGAUUUACAUAAGCCAUAUACAUCUUCGAUUACUAAAUGUUUAUUAACAACUGACAGUAAAGUGUUGUAAGAGAAUUGCAGAUGAGCACAUCACAACAUGAAACAGACAUCUGUGCGAGUGGUGUACGUUAUGUGUGCUUAUUAUGUAGAAUUCACUGCUGUCAACACUGCUUUAGUUGAAUGUAAAUAGUGUAAAUAAACACAUGUACAUAACUAAACAUGAGUUCAUCUGUUUCAUUUGUCCAUUACUGUUGAUAAAUUGAGGAGCAUUUGUGUUGGAUAAAAAGCCAGUUAACACAUCAGCAACUACCUCAACAUGUAAAUGCAGAAUUGAAUCACAGAGUUAACUGAAUCAUGUCUGGAUGUUACAGGGACUGAUGAGACACACGUGUGUUUAUCCGGUGAAGAGUGACUGAUGAAGGAAUGCUGCCAUCAAAGGCUUUCAAUCUUUUGUGGUGGAGCAGGUGACGGCAGCAUUUGUGGGAAGCAAGAAAGACCUGAAACAAAAAUAUAAAGUAAGAUCAUUUUGUUACUUUAAUACAGAAAUAAAAAAAAUAAAUCAAAUUAUUGUAAAAAAAAAAAAAAAAAGUUAAAAUGAAUGCUUUUGUAUUAUAUUUGUGCUUCUUUGUAUGAUCUGAAAUGUCUGCAGACUGGUGUGAGCAGUGAGAAAGGAGAAAUCCACAGCAGCAUCCUGGAAAUGCGGUUUAGCCCACUACAAAAGUAAUAGAGCUACAACAAAAAUUAGCAUGUGAGUGUAAACAUGAAAUGAAAUUUGUCAAGAAAUGGAAUGCUGACAACAUGAAUUGUAAAAUGUUUUACUCUGUUUAAAUGUUUCACAGGUAGUCGAGCAGACACAGCGAUAGCCAGAUUGUGCCGCACAUGUUCUCCUGCUCUUGCCUCAAGGUUGUGGGGUUCAGUGGUGUGUCUUCAUGGUCUUUCUCAUCCUCUGGCUCAACAACAUCCCCAUUGAGAAGAGUGAGAUUGUGAAGCACAGCACAGCAGAAGAAUUGGCACAGCUGCAUUGAGAUGGUAAUAGAAUGUGGGGUUUACCGUCUGAAAAUACAUGAUUGUUAGACCAAUAAGUUUGAAUAAAGCUCUGUUUCAUCUGUUGUUGACUUGUAUAUUUAUGUAUUUAUUAUGAUGCUUUUAUUCCUUCUUUUACUCAUUUAUUCAUGUUUUCUAUUGUUGUCAAUAAAUAAAAUAUACAUA